rnacentral:lncRNA from 1 species
ACCGCGGCCCGCCGCUGCCCGCCGCUGCCCGGCCCUGCCCGGCUCUCAAACCCUCCCGGGGACGGGGGGGGGAGGCUGCGAGGCGCCGGGAGGAUGCGAGUGGGCGCCGCGGGCUGCGAGGCGAGGGCCCGGGCGGCCGGCGGAGCUGGGACUCGGCGACGGCUCAGCGCCCGCCCCGCCGGCAGCGGACGACUCCCGGAGACGCAAAACGGCGGCGGCGGAGGAGGAGGUGCUGCGCGGCGCUGGAGAUCGGCAGCCGGCGGGGCGGGGCGAGGCGAGGCGCCUAAUGGAGGCGGCGGCGGGGCGCUGAGGGAGCGGAGAGGCUGCGGCUGUCAGCGCUGCCCGGUAGGUGCUGGGGCUCCCCGUCAGGCUUGACGGAGGAGUUUGGCUUCGUUGAAGGGUGAGUCAAGGCUGAGGUGGCGGUCCCAGCCGGGACAGGCGCCCCAGAGAGCGCCUUGGGGCUGUCAAAGUGCACGGCGAUCCGUGCAAAGGGGGCUUUGUUGUGGAAGGCCUGAGGUGAACACGAGCAGCCCGCUGGAGGGGGAAAGGAGAGGGGAGUUUGGAAAGCUGCGCUGCUGGUGUUAAGCAGCAGCCUGUGCUGCGUUGGUGUUUGCUCAGAGGGGUUUCACGCACGAGGAGCUGGUGGGUGCUCUGAGGAACCUGGUCCAGCUGUGGAGAACAACCUGUAUGAGGCAAACCCCAGGACCCAAAUGCCAUAGGCUGUAAGUCCAAACCUCCCCGAACAAGCAGACAUUAAGUAGAAAACCCAUUUGUUACCGUCUUGAAACAUUGCCAGCAAGGCAGCCUCUGCCAGUUACGCUGUUAAUUGGGUUCCCCGGAGCUCGUUAGAAGGAGGUGCCAUUUUUUCUAAACGAGGUGACUGCUAACUUCAGGCUGGCAGUCCUACUAGCCUUCCUCAGCCAAAAAGCCCUCUGCGUUUCCGUAAAGCACCUGUGCACUGUGCUUGUUUAACAAAGACAAGUUUGAGACAUAACACUUGGAGGUAGGGCACGCAUUCUCUUUGUGAGGCUUUCCUACUCCUUGAAUGCUUCUUGUGGCUCUCCUGGGCUCUCUCUUCUCUUGCCAAGCCCUCGAUGACCUGUGCCUGCUUCAGCUGCAUCCAGCGCUCCGUUUGCUAGCCGUAAUUGUCGUCAUUUAUCUCUGCUGGUUAUUACUGGGAAAACCGAUGUUUAUCGCUGCGUGUCCACGCGUCCCUGGAGCCUGUUAGAGCUGGCUUUUGAAUGGUUCUGCCUUUUGUAAAUUUCUCAACGCUGAAGAAUUUCUGUCAAGUGAUGGACUUUGUGCUGUUGUUAGGAUUCCUUUUGUUCCUAAUGUACCAAAAAGGCUGUUUCCUUGGGUCUUUUGCUUCCCUUAGCAGUUUGUGGUGUUUCACUUAGGCUUAUUACUAUCCUUGCGCUGUUUUCUCCCCAGUCACUUACAAAGCCUGAGGGACAGGAUUAAUUUUUUUUUAAUCUAGUUACCAUUAAUAUAAAUGAUCUUUUUGUUUGGAUGUGACUUCUGAAUUCAUAACAGUCUUACUUCAAAGAUCUACGACUGGUUUUGAAGUCUGAUGCUUUCUUCAAGUUUGAGUUGAGAAUUUCUUCCGUCUUUAUGGAACUAACUUCUAAAGCAGCAAGUCAGUGUAAACUGUUUUUCUAGUUCUGCUUGCAGGUAAUAAAUAUAACCGAGGCAUACUCGCUUGUGGCUGAGCUCUGGCCAAUCUCUAUUUCUAUGGUCAGUUUCGCUUUGUGUCUCAAGGCUGAAGUCUAGCUGAGAAUUCCCCUGUGCCAGAUGCAGUAUUUUUGUAUAUUAUGAAAUUAGCCUCUCUAAUUCUGAGAAAUCCUGAGCCUGUUGCAAAAUUGACAGAACGAGCUCUUUGGGGUCUGUUUAAUAGAAGUCCUACGUGAUAAGUUUUGGGGUGAUGAGGGGAGGGGACAUUCUGACCACAUUUGGCGCAGUGCAGGAGGGCCUGGACGCGCUGUUCCCUUCUGUGAACUCACGGUCGGUAUUCCCUCUCCGUCCUGUGCCAGAGACGUGAGGUCACUGAUCCAUAAAUGCCCGAGAUGGUUUGCCUCGGAGUUGCCGGUGACUUGUAAACAAGUGAUGCAAUUUUCAGGAUAGCACGGUUUCCCCUCCUCCCUUUGUUUCCUCGCUAUUUCCCAGUCAGGUACCAGUAUCAGUGUUCAAGUCCGGCUGUCGGUUGUAUCACCUUUGCCGAGUGUGUGCUCACAGGAAUCCAGUUUUGUGGUGUUAUUAAUUAACUUUCUGACACUGUCACAUCAGGCACUAAAGGUGCUUCCUCCUG